UAAUUAAUGAAAAUAUGUCAAAAGAGGAAUAAUUUUAUUUUCAUUUAUUGCAAAUUAUUGUUAUUUUUCUUUUACAACAGUUCCAGGAGCACCACAAAAGCUUGAAAUAGUACAUACAAAUACCACAGGUGUAGCAGUUAAUUGGACAGCACCUGGGGACACUUCCAAUGGUCCCAUAAAUGGCUACAUUGUGAAUUUCUUGGUAGAAGGUGAAGUGUUUCAUCACAGUGAAAUCAACACAACUCAUUAUAGUUUCUAUGGAUUUAAACCUUAUACCAGAGCUUCUGUAUCUGUGACUCCAUAUACAACCAACAAACACAAUUACAGGCUUGAAGGUAGCAGUGAAAGCCGUGAAUUUACAACAGCUGCAGGAGGUAAAUCUGCUUGCUAACUGUUAUGACCUAAGCUGAUACUAACACAAAGAAUUUGUACUUUCCUAGUGUAGUUCAUUGUAUUUUAUACAUAGUAUUACUAUUAGCCAAGAAACUGAUUAAAAUUAAAAUAAUUGUACUGACAUUCAUAUAAUUAGUGUCCCUUUUAAAAUUACUUAAUGUUGAUUUAUUUUUUAAUUAUGCACUUCAUAUGAUUAUUAUAUAUAUAAUUUUAAAAAGAAGAUUUCAUUAUUUGAAAUUCUUGUGAAGUCUUUAGGAAGCAUUAUAUCCCAAUA
rnacentral:lncRNA from 14 species